ACGGGAGGCAGCAGUGAGGAAUAUUGGUCAAUGGGCGAGAGCCUGAACCAGCCAAGUAGCGUGCAGGAUGACGGCCCUAUGGGUUGUAAACUGCUUUUAACCGGGAAUAACGUUACCUUCGUGAAGGUAAGUGCAUGUACCGGUUGAAUAAGGAUCGGCUAACUCCGUGCCAGCAGCCGCGGUAAUACGGAGGAUUCGAGCGUUAUCCGGAUUUAUUGGGUUUAAAGGGAGCGUAGGCGGGAAGUCAAGUCAGCUGUGAAAUGUAGACGCUCAACGUCUGCACUGCAGUUGAAACUGGUUUUCUUGAGUGCGUAAGAGGCAGGCGGAAUUCGUCGUGUAGCGGUGAAAUGCUUAGAUAUGACGAAGAACUCCUAUUGCGAAGGCAGCUUGCUGGGCCGCAACUGACGCUGAAGCUCGAAGGUGCGGGUAUCGAACAGGAUUAGAUACCCUGGUA
rnacentral:rRNA from 3 species